AACGAACGCUGGCGGCAGGCUUAACACAUGCAAGUCGAACGCCCCGCAAGGGGAGUGGCAGACGGGUGAGUAACACGUGGGGAUCUGCCCAAUGGUACGGAAUAAUUCCGGGAAACUGGGACUAAUACCGUAUGUGCCCGCAAGGGGAAAGAUUUAUCGCCAUUGGAUGAGCCCGCGUCGGAUUAGCUAGUUGGUGUGGUAAAGGCGCACCAAGGCGACGAUCCGUAGCUGGUCUGAGAGGAUGAUCAGCCACACUGGGACUGAGACACGGCCCAGACUCCUACGGGAGGCAGCAGUGGGGAAUAUUGGACAAUGGGCGCAAGCCUGAUCCAGCCAUGCCGCGUGAGUGAUGAAGGCCUUAGGGCUGUAAAGCUCUUUCGCCGACGAAGAUAAUGACGGUAGUCGGAGAAGAAGCCCCGGCUAACUUCGUGCCAGCCGCCGCCGUAA
rnacentral:rRNA from 1 species